UACGUAGGGUGCAAGCGUUAAUCGGAAUUACUGGGCGUAAAGCGUGCGCAGGCGGUUUUGUAAGUCUGUCGUGAAAUCCCCGGGCUCAACCUGGGAAUUGCGAUGGAGACUGCAAGGCUAGAAUCUGGCAGAGGGGGUAGAAUUCCGACGUGUGAGCAGUGAAAUGCGUAGAGAUGUGGAGGAACACCGAUGGCGAAGGCAGCCCCUGGGUCAAGAUUGACGCUCAUGCACGAAAGCGUGGGAGCAACGAGG
rnacentral:rRNA from 1 species